rnacentral:rRNA from 1 species
AGUGAACGCUGGCGGUAGGCCUAACACACGCAAGUCGAACGGCAGCACAGGAGAGCUUGCUCUCUGGGUGGCGAGUGGCGGACGGGUGAGGAAUACAUCGGAAUCUACUCUGUCGUGGGGGAUAACGUAGGGAAACUUACGCUAAUACCGCAUCCGAACUACGGGUGAAAGCAGGGGACCUUGGGGCCUUGCGCGAUUGAAUGAGCCGAUGUCGGAUUAGCUAGUUGGCGGGGUAAAGGCCCACCAAGGCGACGAUCCGUAGCUGGUCUGAGAGGAUGAUCAGCCACACUGGAACUGAGACACGGUCCAGACUCCUACGGGAGGCAGCAGUGGGGAAUAUUGGACAAUGGGCGCAAGCCUGAUCCAGCCAUACCGCGUGGGUGAAGAAGGCCUUCGGGUUGUAAAGCCCUUUUGUUGGGAAAGAAAUCCAGCUGGCUAAUACCCGGUUGGGAUGACGGUACCCAAAGAAUAAGCACCGGCUAACUUCGUGCCAGCCGCCGCCGUAA